GGCUGGGUAGUCUACCAUGCAGUCGAACGGUAACAGUUCGUGCUUGCUAUUCGAUGACGAGUGGCGGACGGGUGAGUAAUGCUUGGGAACUUGCCUUUGCGAGGGGGAUAACAGUUGGAAACGACUGCUAAUACCGCAUAAUGUCUUCGGACCAAACGGGGCUUCGGCUCCGGCGCAAAGAGAGGCCCAAGUGAGAUUAGCUAGUUGGUAAGGUAACGGCUUACCAAGGCGACGAUCUCUAGCUGUUCUGAGAGGAAGAUCAGCCACACUGGGACUGAGACACGGCCCAGACUCCUACGGGAGGCAGCAGUGGGGAAUAUUGCACAAUGGGGGAAACCCUGAUGCAGCCAUGCCGCGUGUGUGAAGAAGGCCUUCGGGUUGUAAAGCACUUUCAGUUGUGAGGAAAAGUUAGUAGUUAAUACCUGCUAGCCGUGACGUUAACAACAGAAGAAGCACCGGCUAACUCCGUGCCAGCAGCCGCGGUAAUACGGAGGGUGCGAGCGUUAAUCGGAAUUACUGGGCGUAAAGCGCACGCAGGCGGUUUGUUAAGCUAGAUGUGAAAGCCCCGGGCUCAACCUGGGAUGGUCAUUUAGAACUGGCAGACUAGAGUCUUGGAGAGGGGAGUGGAAUUCCAGGUGUAGCGGUGAAAUGCGUAGAUAUCUGGAGGAACAUCAGUGGCGAAGGCGACUCCCUGGCCAAAGACUGACGCUCAUGUGCGAAAGUGUGGGUAGCGAACAGGAUUAGAUACCCUGGUAGUCCACACCGUAAACGCUGUCUACUAGCUGUGUGUGCCUUUAAGGCGUGCGUAGCGAAGCUAACGCGCUAAGUAGACCGCCUGGGGAGUACGGCCGCAAGGUUAAAACUCAAAUGAAUUGACGGGGGCCCGCACAAGCGGUGGAGCAUGUGGUUUAAUUCGAUGCAACGCGAAGAACCUUACCUACACUUGACAUGCUGAGAAGUUACUAGAGAUAGUUUCGUGCCUUCGGGAACUCAGACACAGGUGCUGCAUGGCUGUCGCCAGCUCGUGCCUUGAAAUGUUGGGUUAAGUCCCGCAACGAGCGCAACCCUUGCCCUUAGUUGCCAACCUUAAGUUG
rnacentral:rRNA from 1 species